UAGCUUGGUUGGUAGAGCAGCUGCCUUGUAAGCGCUAAGCCGCGGGUUCGAUUCCUGC
rfam:Asian citrus Psyllid, Diaphorina citri - Florida Strain, whole genome shotgun sequence.